rnacentral:rRNA from 1 species
AUACGGAGGGUGCGAGCGUUGUUCGGAAUUAUUGGGCGUAAAGAGCAUGUAGGCGGUCUGUUAAGUCUGGUGUGAAAGCCCGGGGCUCAACCCCGGAAGUGCAUUGGAUACUGGCAGACUUGAGUAUGGGAGAGGAAAGCGGAAUUCCGAGUGUAGGAGUGAAAUCCGUAGAUAUUCGGAGGAACACCAGUGGCGAAGGCGGCUUUCUGGACCAAUACUGACGCUGAGAUGCGAAAGCGUGGGGAGCAAACAGGAUUAGAAACCCUUGUAGUCC